CCUACGGGCGGCAGCAGUGAGGAAUAUUGGUCAAUGGGCGAGAGCCUGAACCAGCCACGUCGCGUGAGGGAGUACUGCCCUAUGGGUUGUAAAUCCCUUUUGCCGGGGAGCAACAGCCGGACGUGUCCGGCUGUGAGAGUACCCGAAGAUAAAGCAUCGGCUAACUCCGUGCCAGCAGCCGCGGUAAUACGGGGGAUGAGAGCGUUAUCAGGAUUUAUUGGGGUAAAAGGGGGCGUAGGCGGAUUUUUACGUCAGCGGUAAAAUCGGGGGGCUCAACCCCAUCCAGCCGUUGAAACUGGGGAUCUAGAGUGUGCGAGAGGUAUGCGGAAUGCGUGGUGUAGCGGUGAAAUGCAUAGAUAUCACGCAGAACCCCGGUUGCGAAGGCAGCAUACCGGUGCACAACUGACGCUCAGGCGCGAAAGCGUGGGUAUCGAACAGGAUUAGAUACCCCAGUAGUC
rnacentral:rRNA from 1 species